UAAUUGUAUGGGCCAAGAAAUACAUCAUUGACAACUUUCUUGAAUUUGCACAAGUGGCAGUGAUAAACCAGAACAUCAAAUAAAAAAAUCACUGCAGUCUAUUGCUGCCAGACUGAAAAGGGGCAAGAGAGAGAAAUGUCUGUUGAAAAGUAUUCUGAAAAUAUGAAGCACAACAUAAGGUUAACAGUUGGUUAAAGAGGGAACAAAAGGUACGGAUGUGGAGCCACAUACAGAGGAAUCAUUUGAAGAAACUGGACGG
rnacentral:lncRNA from 1 species